GAUGGAGGGGGAUAACUACUGGAAACGGUAGCUAAUACCGCAUAACGUCGCAAGACCAAAGAGGGGGACCUUCGGGCCUCUUGCCAUCAGAUGUGCCCAGAUGGGAUUAGCUAGUAGGUGGGGUAACGGCUCACCUAGGCGACGAUCCCUAGCUGGUCUGAGAGGAUGACCAGCCACACUGGAACUGAGACACGGUCCAGACUCCUACGGGAGGCAGCAGUGGGGAAUAUUGCACAAUGGGCGCAAGCCUGAUGCAGCCAUGCCGCGUGUAUGAAGAAGGCCUUCGGGUUGUAAAGUACUUUCAGCGGGGAGGAAGGUGUUGUGGUUAAUAACCGCAGCAAUUGACGUUACCCGCAGAAGAAGCACCGGCUAACUCCGUGCCAGCAGCCGCGGUAAUACGGAGGGUGCAAGCGUUAAUCGGAAUUACUGGGCGUAAAGCGCACGCAGGCGGUCUGUCAAGUCGGAUGUGAAAUCCCCGGGCUCAACCUGGGAACUGCAUUCGAAACUG
rnacentral:rRNA from 1 species